AAUGGGUCUGUUUUAAUACCAGUGAACUGUAUAUCUAGUUCCCUGGCUUCGCUUUCAGACCAAAUUGAAUUCUUCAAAUUUAUCCUAGUGUGAUUGUUACUUGAUAUAAUGUGCACUGGCAUUUUGAAGAUACAAAU